rnacentral:rRNA from 1 species
AAUUUUGGACAAUGGGGGAAACCCUGAUCCAGCAACCCCGAGGGAAGGAGGAAGGCCUCGGGGUUUUAAAGUACUUUUGGCAGAGAAGAAAAGGUACAUCCUAAUAGGAGGUACUGCUGCCGGAACCUGCAGAAUAAGAACCGGCGAACUACGGCCAGGCAGCCGAGGGAACACGUAGGGUGCAAGUGUUAAUCGGAAUUACUGGGCGUAAAGCGUGUGUAGACGGUUCAGAAAGAAAGAUGUGAAAUCCCAGGGCUCCACCUUGGAACUGCAUUUUUAACUGCCGAACUAGAGUAUGUCAGAGGGGGGUAGAAUUCCACGUGUAGCAGUGAAAAGCGUAGAUAUGUGGAGGAAUACCGAUGGCGAAGGCAGCCCCCUGGGAUAAUACUGACGCUCAGACACGAAAGCGUGGGGAGCAAACAG